rnacentral:rRNA from 1 species
UCGAACAGACCUAAAACUUUUAGCUUCUACACCAAAAUUUCAUUUUAAUCCAACAUCGAGGUCGCAAACUUUUUUUUCGAUAAGAACUCUUUAAAAAAAUUACGCUGUUAUCCCUAAGGUAAUUUUUUCUUUUAAUCUUAAAAAAAGGAUCAAAUAUCCAUAUAUCAAUGUUUACCUAUAAAAAAAAGUUAAAUAAAUUUUUCAAUCACCCCAAUUAAAUUAUUUUUUACAUAAAUAUUUAUUAAUUCUAAAAAUAUAUAUAUAAAACUAAUAAAACUCUAUAGGGUCUUCUCGUCUUUAAUAAAAAUUUAAGCUUUUUAACUUAAAAAUAAAAUUCUAAUAAAUUUAAAUAGAGACAGAUUUUUUCUCAUCAAACCUUUCAUUCCAGCUUCUAAUUAAGAAACUAAUGAUUAUGCUACCUUUGCACGGUCAAAAUACCGCGGCCAUUUAAAUUUUCAUAGGGCAGGUCCGACCUUAAAUUAUAAUCAAAAA